rnacentral:rRNA from 1 species
GAUUCACUUCGGUGAUGACGCUGGGAACGCGAGCGGCGGAUGGGUGAGUAACACGUGGGUAACCUGCCCUAAAGUCUGGGAUACCACUUGGAAACAGGUGCUAAUACCGGAUAACAACAAUAGCUGCAUGGCUAUUGCUUAAAAGGCGGCGAAAGCUGUCGCUAAAGGAUGGACCCGCGGUGCAUUAGCUAGUUGGUAAGGUAAUGGCUUACCAAGGCGACGAUGCAUAGCCGAGUUGAGAGACUGAUCGGCCACAUUGGGACUGAGACACGGCCCAAACUCAAACGGGAGGCAGCAGUAGGGAAUCUUCCACAAUGGGCGAAAGCUGAUGGAGCAACGCCGCGUGAGUUAAGAAGGUUUUCGGAUCGUAAAGCUCUGUUGUUGGUGAAGAAGGAUAGAGGUAGUAACUGGCCCCUAUUUGACGGUAAUCAACCAGAAAGUGACGGCUAACUACGUGCCAGCAGCCGCGGUAAUACGUAGGUGGCAAGCGUUGUCCGGAUUUAUUGGGCGUAAAGCGAGCGCAGGCGGAAAGAUAAGUCUGAUGUGAAAGCCCCCGGCUUAACCGAGGAAUUGCAUCGGAAACUGUGUUUCUUGAGUUCAGAAGAGGAGAGUGGAACUCCAUGUGUAGCGGUGGAAUGCGUAGAUAUAUGGAGAACACCAGUUGCGAAGCGGUCCUCUGGUCUGUACUGACGCUGAGCUCGAAAGCAUGGGUAGCGACAGGAUUAGAUACCUGGUAGU